GCAAAGAUAGCUUAAAAUAAAAGCCAAGCACUGAAAAUGCUUCCAUAUGGGUUUGAUCCCCUUUCUUAGCA
rnacentral:tRNA from 1 species